rnacentral:rRNA from 1 species
CGGGGGGUGCGAGCGUUGUCCGGAUUCACUGGGCGUAAAGGGCGCGUAGGCGGCCGGGUCAGUCGGGCCUGUAAGUGCGGGGCUCAACCCCGUGAUGGGCUCGGGACGGCCCGGCUGGGGCGCGGUCGAGGGAGACGGAAUGCCGGGUGUAGUGGUGAAAUGCGUAGAGAUCCGGCGGAACACCGGUGGUGAAGACGGUCUCCUGGGCCGAGGGCCGACGCUGAGGCGCGAGAGCGUGGGGAGCGAACCGGAUUAGAUACCCGGGUAGUCCACGCCGUAAACGGUGGAUGCUAGGUGUGGGGGGUAUCGACCCCCCCGUGCCGGCGCGAACGCAGGAAGCAUCCCGCCUGGGGAGUACGGCCGCAAGGCUA